rnacentral:rRNA from 1 species
CUACGUAGGGUGCAAGCGUUAAUCGGAAUUACUGGGCGUAAAGCGUGCGCAGGCGGUUUUGUAAGACAGAGGUGAAAUCCCCGGGCUCAGCCUGGGAACUGCCUUUGUGACUGCAAGGCUAGAGUACGGCAGAGGGGGAUGGAAUUCCGCGGGUAGCAGUGAAAUGCGUAGAUAUGCGGAGGAACACCGAUGGCGAAGGCAAUCCCCUGGGCCUGUACCGACGCUCAUGCACGAAAGCGUGGGGAGCAAACAGGAUUAGAUACCCUGGUAGUCCACGCCCCAAACGAUGUCAACUGGUUGUUGGGUCUCCAUUGACUCAGUAACGAAGCUAACGCGUGAAGUUGACCGCCUGGGGAGUACGGCCGCAAGGUUGAAACUCAAAUGAAUUGACGGGG